GUAAUCUUCAACUGGAGGCAUUUUCCCAUGAGAUUCAGAGGAGAACGCACACUUCCACGAACGAUAUAUCAUCGAAGAGAUAUGUGAAAAACACCUUGAGGAUUGAUUCUAAACAACGUUUACCAUGUUUCAGUCGAUAUUAUGGAGUUAAUUUGGAAAAAAGUUUGGCGUUUUGAUGACUGAAUUUUCGUUUUUUUUUGGUAGCCAAACGUGACGCACCAAACGGAGCGAUUUCUCCUAAACAAAUAAUCUUUCAGGAAAAACUGAACAUUUGCUAUCUAACUGAGAGUCUCCUCAUUGAAAACAUCCGAAGUUCUUCAAAGUUGCCUAGGAGCCAGUGGUGGUCUCUUCAAUUGACUUCACACGGUGCCAGCGAAGCUCACCUGGAAUAACAGAACAGGCCUUCAGAGACAACUGCUCGCUAAUGUGAUUCGCGGAAAUUGGACUGGCAGUGCUGACAUCUCUACCACUGAUAUCAUGGAUGGAGAGACGGGGGACGGGGGAGAAGAGAGGGAGGGAGAGAAGAGAUAGGGAGAUUCCUUGGUGUUGCUUGGGUAAUUUGUUCAUGUAUUGCAUAAUACACUCACAUUGAAUGUCUCACAGGGAUGUCUCACAGUAAAUUGGUGUAAUACAGUAUGGGGAAUAGUAGUACAAAGGGUGGUAUAUGGAUUCAAAAGUUUUAGCAGGCUUAUUGCAAAGCCUCUAAGCAUUGGCCUAAUGGACCUGGUAGCUUCAUGACCAUAAACAGUUAUAGGCUCCUACAUCCAUUUAAAGGAAUGUCUAUCCUCCUUGUGUGUAGUUUCUACUGGCAUGUCCACAGCUAUGUCACAAGAGUUGUAUUAUUAUUCCAGGGCUGUGAUUGCAUGUGCAAUUGCAACAUUUGAUGUUAUUGGUUAUUCUCCCACAGCGAACAACUCCCAUCAUUCAAAAUUGACACCUCAUUGCAGUCAGUGGAGGGGUUCAGUAGAUAAAUCACCUUCAACUCCAAUAAAGUUAAAGACUCUCCCUAACCUGGGUCUUACUGGUUCUGUAUGAGAAAUUCUAACCUCCAGUUAACCAUUGGGAAGAGCCAGCAGCUCUGUUGGUUACAGAGUAU
ensembl:lncRNA